rnacentral:rRNA from 1 species
AUACGUAGGUGACAAGCGUUAUCCGGAUUUACUGGGCGUAAAGGGCGUGUUGGCGGUCUUGCAAGUCAGCAGUGAAAUUCCUGAGCUCAACUCGGGCGCUGCUUCUGAAACUGCAGGACUUGAGUGCUGGAGGGGAUAGCGGAAUUCCUAGUGGAGCGGUAAAAUGCGCAGAUAUUAGGAAGAACACCGGUGGCGAAGGCGGCUAUCUGGACAGUAACUGACGCUGAGGCGCGAAAGCGUGGGGAGCAAACAGGAUUAGAUACCCUGGUAGUCCACGCAGUAAACGAUGAAUACUAGGUGUAGGGGGUAUCGACUCCCUCUGUGCCGCAGUUAACACAAUAAGUAUUCCGCCUGGGGAGUACGGCCGCAAGGUUGAAACUUAAAGGAAUUGACGGGG